rnacentral:rRNA from 1 species
GAUGAACGCUGGCGGCGUGCCUAACACAUGCAAGUCGAGCGAUUUACUUCGGUAAAGAGCGGCGGACGGGUGAGUAACGCGUGGGUAACCUGCCCUGUACACACGGAUAACAUACCGAAAGGUAUGCUAAUACGAGAUAAUAUGCUUUUAUCGCAUGGUAUAAGUAUCAAAGUUUUUGCGGUACAGGAUGGACCCGCGUCUGAUUAGCUAGUUGGUAAGGUAACGGCUUACCAAGGCGACGAUCAGUAGCCGACCUGAGAGGGUGAUCGGCCACAUUGGAACUGAGACACGGUCCAAACUCCUACGGGAGGCAGCAGUGGGGAAUAUUGCACAAUGGGCGAAAGCCUGAUGCAGCAACGCCGCGUGAGUGAAGAAGGUUUUCGGAUCGUAAAGCUCUGUUGUUGGUGAAGAAGGAUAGAGGCAGUAACUGGGUC